UUCUUGGGAUGGUAGGGGGCCAACUCACUGUCCUUCUUCAUGCCAGCAUCCAAGCACUUCUGCAACCUGCAGGCUGGGCAGUGGCGCCUCUGGGCCUUGUUGACCUCACAGCUUCCAGCAAAGGGACACGUGAGGCUGGUGCUUUUGUUGACUGUUCUCCUGUGGAGACAGACGUUGUGAGGGUCAGGGAUGGCAGCAAGCAGGUGGGUAUGUGAGGGGCUACAAUGAUAUGGUCCCAAAGAAUCUAUGGUAGGGAUUCCCUGGUGGUCCAGUGGUUAGCACUAGGUGCUUUCACUGCCAAGGGCCUGGGUUCAAUCCCUGGUUGGGGAACUAAAAUCCUGAAUCUAGGGUGACAUGGGCUAAUCUGAGCUGUGUCCAGAAGUCCCUAGGGGUAGGGAGGACACAAUACAUCUCAAGCAUUCCCAUGGGGCACACAAUCAGUCAGGAAAGUCUAUACUUUCUAUAGACUAUGCUAGUCUGGUGCUUUGCAGGUAGUGAGUACACUUGGCUAUGGGUCUGUGUCCAGAGGACGCACACUCUGCCUCGCUCUGUUCUUCUGCCACGUGUUUAUACAGUGUGGAGGUUGCCAGUGGGUCAUGUGCUAGCUACAGGGUGGUUGGGUUCCAAGAAGCAAGAGUGCUGUAGCCGGACAAGCCCUGGCGUGUGCCGAGGCUUAAAGGCUGCCUGGCAGGCAGUUUGGGAGGUUGGUUGUGUUGAGGAGGAGGUUCUCACCUGAAGAAACCCUUGCAGCCCUCACAAGUCAGGGCAUGGAAGUGGUAGCCUGUAGCCCGGUCCCCACACACUGCGCAGUUCCUCGGCUCAUCUUCCCCACUGGCCAUGGCUUCAGAUCCAUAGUGACUCCCUACUGCUGAGUUUCCUGUUAGAUCUGCAGCCUCCUCUGUGCAUGGAUUCUGGACAAGCUGAGAGGACGGAGGGAGAGAGAGAGACAACAAGCUUUUUCACAUGCGGUAUGUCCACAGUAAAAGAACAGGCGUAACAAUUGUACACUGUUGCUCUAAGUGGGCCCUGCAAAUUAUGUACCUGGUCCUGUAUGGAGCCAAGAUGGAGGACUUCUAAGUAAUAAGUUUAAGAAUCAGAAGUAGGAGCCUUCACCAUGGUUGUCUACUGCUGCUGCCGCUGCUAAGUCGCUUCAGUCAUGUCCGACUCUGUGCGACCCCACAGACGGCAGCCCACCAGGCUCCCCCGUCCCUGGGAUUCUCCAGGCAAGAACACUGGAUUGGGUUGC